GUUGGUGAACCAGCGGAGGGAUCAUUACCGAGUUUUCAACUCCCAAACCCUAUGUGAACUUACCACACCGUUGCUUCGGCGCGCGCUCGUCGCCGCCGAGGACGUUAAACUCUGUCUUGUAUAAGCAUCUCUGAGUGGCCGAAAGGCAAAAAACAAAUGAAUCAAAACUUUCAACAACGGAUCUCUUGGUUCUGGCAUCGAUGAAGAACGCAGCAUUGACUGACUCGGGCAUAAGUCAUCUCGUAUGCCG
rnacentral:misc_RNA from 1 species